CAGUAGCCGCGGGAAUACGUAGGGUGCAAGCGUUAAUCGGAAUUACUGGGCGUAAAGCGUGCGCAAGCGGUUAUAUAAGACAGAUGUGAAAUCCCCGGGCUCAACCUGGGAACUGCAUUUGUGACUGUAUAGCUAGAGUACGGCAGAGGGGGAUGGAAUUCCGCGUGUAGCAGUGAAAUGCGUAGAUAUGCGGAGGAACACCGAUGGCGAAGGCAAUCCCCUGGGCCUGUACUGACGCUCAUGCACGAAAGCGUGGGGAGCAAACAGGAUUAGAUACCCCUGUAGUCCCUGUCUCUUAUAC
rnacentral:rRNA from 1 species